rnacentral:tRNA from 1 species
GACUCAGUGGGUAGAGUGUGAGACUCUUGAUCUCGGGGUUGUGGGUUUGAGUCCCAC